UCCGUAAACGAGUUUGCUGUUGAGCUUCUCGGUUUGACGCGACGAGUGCCUAUCAGGCAACACGGAAUGAGUGCCAGUCGGGCUACACUUUGUACAACACACACACACACUUUAACUUUGAAUAAAGAUUCAUUCCUGCAUCAAGCGUACAAGCGUCUACACGUCUUUUCCUUUGGGUGCAACAGUCCACUCGCUUUUUCCGCUUUGUUUCUCUUCUAGUUCAACAGGUUAUGGGCCCAGCUCAGUGUGGCCAGUUCAAUUGAAAAGUGCGCGACGCGGUUCGGAAUCACAGUGAUUUUUUCGGCGUGAAAAAAUUAGGACAUUUCCGGAAGGUACGCGGUGCGGUUAAGGAAUCGUGUGUUUUUUCGUGGUGAAAGAAAAAAUCCAACCGGGAACGGUUCGGCACGAGCAAAAAUGGAUUUUUCGAAAGUGGGUGUCAUCCGGCUGAACAACCGAAACUAUCGGUCGUGGGCUUUCAAAGUGCAGAUGUUGAUGAUGCGGGAGGGUACGUGGACGUACGUUGACCCGGGUGUCGCGCCGACACCGGUAACUCCGGAGUGGACGGAGGGUGAUUCGAAGGCGCGGGCGACCAUUGCUUUGUUGGUUGAGGAUAACCAACACAAUCUCAUCAUGACAAAGAACACAGCGAAAGAGACAUGGGAUGCGCUCAAGGCACACCACCACAAAGCCACUCUUACCGGGAAAGUUUCGUUGCUGAAAGAGAUUUGCAAUGCAAACUAUCAUGAAGGUGAGAAUAUGGAAGAUUUUUUAUACGGCAUGGAAGAUCUCUACUCUCGGCUGGAGAAUUCGGGUGAAAAACUCUCGGCGAACAUGCAGGUGGCCAUGAUUUUGCGGAGCCUUCCAAAAGCAUUUGACGCUCUUACUACCGCUUUGGAAAGUCGUUCCGAUAAAGAGCUAACGAUGGAACUUGUGCGGGCAAAGCUGAUCGACGAAAGUGAGAAGCUGUACGGCGGAAAGGUGCAGGAGGAGCGAGUGCUGAAGGCGAAAAGUGAAGCAAAACCAGGCGCGUGUUUCUUUUGUGGUCAAUCUGGCCAUAAGAAACGGGACUGCAAAGAGUUCCUGAAUCGGAAGAGCAGCGGGGAAGGCGAAAAGAAGAAAAAGAAUAAGCCGAAUAAAAAAGAACUAGUGAAAAUAGUGCGCGAAAACGACACAAGUUCGUUUACGUUCAUGGUUCGUCAGCCUGAAAUUCGCGGUAACGAUCGGUCGUGGCUAAUCGACUCGGGUGCUAGUUCGCACAUGUGUAGCGACAAAAGCGCGUUCACGGUAAUGGAACAAAGCUUGCGUUCAAAUGUUACCGUCGCAGAUGGCAGCGAAAAUCGCGUCGAAGGUGUUGGCGAUUGCCUGAUCAAGUGUGCGGUUGAAAACGGCGAAAUAAUUGAAAUCACGCUACGGGGUGUGUUGUAUGUCCCUACGCUGGAGGGAAACAUGAUUUCAAUCGGUAAACUCGCGGAAAAAGGUGUGCGUGCAGUUUUUGACAACACCGGGUGCAAACUCGUUUACGGAAAUACGAUCGUCGCGGUCGCGGAUAAAGUGAGCGAUAUGUAUUGGUUGCGAAUUGCACAGGAUCGAGUGAUGAAAUCAGUCGUAAAAGAGCACACGAAAAAUUGCCAACACACUUGGCAUCGUCGUCUUGGGCACAGGGAUCCAGCUGUCAUCGGUGAAAUGAAGCGGUACGACUUGGUGUCGGGUCUAAAAGUGGUCGACUGCGGUAUCCGCUGGACCUGCGAAUGCUGCAUCGAAUGCAAAAUGGCACGCUCGCCAUUUCCACCAGUUGCAGAAAAAACCUCGACAGAAGUGCUGGAUAUAAUCCACAGUGAUGUGUGCGGCCCAAUGGAAGAAACGACCUUAGGGGGAUGCCGUUACUAUAUGACCCUAAUAGACGAUCAUAGUAGGUAUACUUUCGUCUAUUUUCUCAAAAAGAAAUCGGAGGUCGAGAAUAAGAUUCGCGAAUACGUGAAAUUGGUUCAAAACCAGUUUGGCCGGAAACCGCGGAUCAUUCGCUCCGAUCAGGGAGGAGAAUACUUCAGUAAGGCGCUUCGAAAAUUCUGUGCGGACGAAGGGAUAAAGAUGGAAUUUACUGCAGCAUAUUCACCCCAGCAAAAUGGUGUCGCGGAGCGGAAGAACCGAUCGCUCACGGAGAUGGGUCGGUGUAUGCUUCGGGAUGCAGGUAUGCAUAAGCGAUUUUGGGCGGAAGCAGUCAAUACCGCUUGCUACUUGCAAAAUCGAUUGCCGUCUGCUGCAGUAGAUCGUACGCCAUUCGAGAUCUGGUUCGGCAAAAAACCAGAUUUGACCAACCUGCGACUGUUUGGAUGUGUUGGAUACGUACUGAUUCCGUCGGUGAAACGAAAAAAGUUAGACGUCAAGGCGGAGCGUAUGACUUUUGUCGGCUAUUCCGGCGAACAUAAGGCGUAUCGGAUGCUAAACACUAAGACGGGAGAAAUUCAAAUCAGUCGGGAUGUCCGUUUUCUUGAGAUUGAUGACGGAUCCAAGGAGCAGACAUACGGCGAUCCCAAAAUAGAGGAUAAUCCGACUGAAAGCGUUGAAAUUGAGUGGUCUCUCGAUGAAACGAAACAGGAAGCUAAAACCAACGUGGCCAAUGAAACAACCUCCGAAUCUGAAUUUUACGGUUGGGAUUGUUCAGACGAUGGCUGGCCACGAGGUUUUUGGAACGAUAAUGAUAACAAUUGGCUUCGCGGACUGUGGGACGAUGACGACACUGAAGCUGGAGCUGCGGAGCCGGAGGCGGUGCUGGAUGUAAUACCGGAGGCGAUGCCAGCGGCUGUGCCGGUGGUGUCGAGUACUCCCGUUCGUCGUUCACAAAGAGCGACAGCUGGCGUUCCACCGGCAAGAUAUGACGAAGAAGUAUAUCUGGCGAAGGAAUGUAUAACCGAACCAAAAACGUAUAAGGAAGCUGUAUCUGGUCCUCAGAGUGCCGAAUGGAAAUCAGCGAUGGCAGAAGAAAUGCAGUCCCAUCACGAAAAUGGAACGUGGGAGCUAGCGGAGCUGCCGCCGCACCGAAAGGCUAUCGGGUCGAAAUGGAUCUUCAAGUGUAAAGCGGAUGAAGACGGUCAUUUCGUUCGGUAUAAAGCACGGCUGGUGGCGCAGGGUUUCUGCCAGAAAUUCGGGACGGAUUACGACCUAGUGUUUGCCCCCGUCGUAAAGCAGAUUACUUUCCGGACGAUGCUGGUUCUGGCGAGUAAAAGGAAGAUGUUAACAAAGCACGUUGACAUAAAGACGGCGUACCUACAUGGUCUUCUCAAGGAGGAGAUUUUUAUGCGCCAGCCACAGGGAUUCGAGAGCGGUAACCCGAACGAAGUCUGCAGGCUGCAUCGCAGCAUUUACGGGCUCAAGCAGGCAGCUCGUGUCUGGAAUACGAAGAUCGACGACGUACUGAAAACAAUGGGUUUCAUCCAAUCAACGGCGGACCCAUGUUUGUACAUACGCGAAAAAGCGGCGAUCCGCUCCGGAGCAGUACGUUCUUUGAUGGCAGAUGAUUUCGCCCCGACUCGUCCAUUUCGUCCGCAGUCGCUAAACUGUUCAUAGCUUGUGCUUUGUUCUUAAAUUUCUUUACGAAGUCCCUAUUAUCACAUCAAGAUGGGUAGGGAGGACAAAGCAACCUGGAAAUCCAACUACUUCCUGAAGGUCGUGCAACUGCUCGACGAAUACCCGAGAUGUUUCAUCGUCGGUGCUGACAAUGUCGGUUCCCGUCAGAUGCAAACCAUCCGUAUGUCGCUCCGCGGCUCGGCCAUCGUGCUGAUGGGCAAGAACACCAUGAUGCGCAAGGCCAUCCGCGGACAUCUGGAGAACAACCAGAGCUUGGAGAAGCUGCUCAAUCACAUCAAGGGCAACGUGGGCUUCGUGUUCACGAAGGGCGAUCUGGCCGAGGUUCGCGACAAGCUGACCGCGAGCAAGGUGCGUGCACCGGCCCGUGCCGGAGCCAUCGCCCCGCUGGAGGUCGUCAUCCCGGCCCAGAACACCGGUCUCGGUCCGGAAAAGACCUCCUUCUUCCAGGCCCUCUCCAUCCCGACCAAGAUUUCGAAGGGUACGAUUGAAAUCAUCAACGAUGUGCCCAUCCUGAAGCCGGGCGACAAGGUCGGCGCUUCGGAAGCCACGCUGCUCAACAUGCUGAACAUCUCGCCGUUCUCGUACGGUCUGCAGAUCCAGCAGGUGUACGAUUCCGGUUCGAUCUUCUCGCCAGAAAUCCUCGACAUCAAGCCGGAGGAUCUGCGCGCCAAGUUCCAGGCCGGAGUGGCCAACCUGGCCGCCGUUUCGCUCCAGAUCGGAUACCCGACCUUGGCUUCGGUGCCGCACAGCAUUGCCA